UACGUAGGGUGCGAGCGUUAAUCGGAAUUACUGGGCGUAAAGCGUGCGCAGGCGGUUCGCUAAGUCAGGUGUGAAAUCCCCGGGCUUAACCUGGGAAUUGCGCUUGAAACUAGCGGGCUUGAGUGUGGCAGAGGGGGGUGGAAUUCCACGUGUAGCAGUGAAAUGCGUAGAGAUGUGGAGGAACACCGAUGGCGAAGGCAGCCCCCUGGGUCAACACUGACGCUCAUGCACGAAAGCGUGGGGAGCAAACAGG
rnacentral:rRNA from 1 species